rnacentral:rRNA from 1 species
GGGAAAGCGGCGAACGGGUGAGUAACACGUGGGUAACCUGCCCUCGGCACCGGGAUAACUCCGGGAAACCGGAGCUAAUACCGGACGGCCUCCGAGGUCUUCGGGCUUCGGAGAAAAGGUAGCUUCGGCUUCCGGCCGAGGAUGGGCCCGCGGCGGAUUAGCUUGUUGGUGAGGUAACGGCUCACCAAGGCUCCGAUCCGUAGCUGGUCUGAGAGGAUGGCCAGUCACACUGGGACUGAGACACGGCCCAGACUCCUACGGGAGGCAGGAGUGGGGAAUCUUGCGCAAUGGGCGAAAGCCUGACGCAGCGACGCCGCGUGCGGGAAGAAGGCCUUCGGGUUGUAAACAGUCUUUCAGGGGGGACGAAGCCACUCGGGUUAAUAGCCCAGAGGGUGACGGUA